rnacentral:rRNA from 1 species
UUAGGGUGAGUCGACCCCUAAGGCGAGGCCGAAAGGCGUAGUCGAUGGGAAACAGGUUAAUAUUCCUGUACUUGGUGUUACUGCGAAGGGGGGACGGAGAAGGCUAUGUUGGCCGGGCGACGGUUGUCCCGGUUUAAGCGUGUAGGCUGGUUUUCCAGGCAAAUCCGGAAAAUCAAGGCUGAGGCGUGAUGACGAGGCACUACGGUGCUGAAGCAACAAACGCCCUGCUUCCAGGAAAAGCCUCUAAGCAUCAGGUAACAUCAAAUCGUACCCCAAACCGACACAGGUGGUCAGGUAGAGAAUACCAAGGCGCUUGAGAGAACUCGGGUGAAGGAACUAGGCAAAAUGGUGCCGUAACUUCGGGAGAAGGCACGCUGAUAUGUAGGUGAGGUCCCUCGCGGAUGGAGCUGAAAUCAGUCGAAGAUACCAGCUGGCUGCAACUGUUUAUUAAAAACACAGCACUGUGCAAACACGAAAGUGGACGUAUACGGUGUGACGCCUGCCCGGUGCCGGAAGGUUAAUUGAUGGGGUUAGCGCAAGCGAAGCUCUUGAUCGAAGCCCCGGUAAACGGCGGCCGUAACAAUAACGGUCCUAAGGUAGCGAAAUUCCUUGUCGGGUAAGUUCCGACCUGCACGAAUGGCGUAAUGAUGGCCAGGCUGUCUCCACCCGAGACUCAGUGAAAUUGAACUCGCUGUGAAGAUGCAGUGUACCCGCGGCAAGACGGAAAGACCCCGUGAACCUUUACUAUAGCUUGACACUGAACAUUGAGCCUUGAUGUGUAGGAUAGGUGGGGGGCUUUGAAGUGUGGACGCCAGUCUGCAUGGAGCCGACCUUGAAAUACCACCCUUUAAUGUUUGAUGUUCUAACGUUGACCCGUAAUCCGGGUUGCGGACAGUGUCUGGUGGGUAGUUUGACUGGGGCGGUCUCCUCCUAAAGAGUAACGGAGGAGCACGAAGGUUGGCUAAUCCUGGUCGGACAUCAGGAGGUUAGUGCAAUGGCAUAAGCCAGCUUGACUGCGAGCGUGACGGCGCGAGCAGGUGCGAAAGCAGGUCAUAGUGAUCCGGUGGUUCUGAAUGGAAGGGCCAUCGCUCAACGGAUAAAAGGUACUCCGGGGAUAACAGGCUGAUACCGCCCAAGAGUUCAUAUCGACGGCGGUGUUUGGCACCUCGAUGUCGGCUCAUCACAUCCUGGGGCUGAAGUAGGUCCCAAGGGUAUGGCUGUUCGCCAUUUAAAGUGGUACGCGAGCUGGGUUUAGAACGUCGUGAGACAGUUCGGUCCCUAUCUGCCGUGGGCGCUGGAGAGCUGAGGGGGGCUGCUCCUAGUACGAGAGGACCGGAGUGGACGCAUCACUGGUGUUCGGGUUGUCAUGCCAAUGGCACUGCCCGGUAGCUAAAUGCGGAAGAGAUAAGUGCUGAAAGCAUCUAAGCACGAAACUUGCCCCGAGAUGAGUUCUCCCUGACCCUUUAAGGGUCCUGAAGGAACGUUGAAGACGACGACGUUGAUAGGCCGGGUGUGUAAGCGCAGCGAUGCGUUGAGCUAACCGGUAUUAAUGAACCGUGGGGCUUAACCCC